rnacentral:lncRNA from 1 species
UUUUGGGUUGUAACGGGGCUUUGAUUUAGGUGGGGUAUGAAAUUUGAAAAAAGGUUUUUGGUUCAGAGUACAUGAACUCAUUCUCUCACUACGUUUCUUUCCUAUUAUUCUUGUAGGGUUUUGUAAUCCUCUUUUCCUUUUAUCUAUAGUGAAUGUAGCAUUUUUCAAAAGCUGUUCUUUUAUUGUUUUUCGCUUUUCUCUUUCUUUCUUUUCAUGUUGUUGUUGUUUUUCUUUUUUUUUUCUUUUUAUAUUUUUUUUUAUACUACAUUCACUUACUAUUCACUUACUGCAAAGCUACCCCAAACUUAAAGGUUGCUAUUCCAACAGCAACCCCAAACUUAGAUAGAAACGUAGAGAUGAAAUCAAUCCUCACAUACUCUGAACAGGGUAGGAUAGUUACAAGGUCAUGGAUUGAGAAAAAACGGGUAUAUCAGAAAUAAAUGAUUAACAGGCUCAACAGGGUGAAACAAUGGAUAAUAAUAAUAGAUGGGAUGGCUAGAAAGGCUCUAGGUGAUAAACAAAAACAUGCCUCAG